rnacentral:snoRNA from 1 species
ACCACUAUAUUUAAACCCUGUGGAUAGGAAUUUUCCUCAUUCUUGAUUAUGCUGCAGUACAAAAUAAUUCCUUGGCUCCUUCCCUUGCACAGUUGACUAUGUGCAAAUUUGCUGUUCCUCUGUGGAAUUAAUAAACAUGA